GUCGAAAUGAAAGUGCAAGUUUUAGAGGUUCUUUGCUCACCUAAAUGUCUUCUACUUUAUGCCUCCUUAAAGCCAAGGGAAUAGGGUUUUCAAAACCUAACCUAUUGUUGAUAUCUAAAAAAUAAAUACAGCUCCCAUGAAACAAUGCUUCAUGAAUUAUUUAACCUACGAAGAAAGAGAAUAUUUCUAUUUCAUAAAAUUGUGCAUCUUAUAGCAACUGAUUUGUUAUCAUAUGCCUUAGGAACAGUCAAAAAGUGUCAGCAAACAUCAAGAAAAUAUAGAUGGCAAGGACAUAAAUGAUGAAAUGCUGGUGAAUUUCCAUAACAUUCUGGAUAGUUGAUCUGAGUUCAACUUAGAAUGAUGAUUAGAAGGCAUUUCUCCCAAGAAAUCUCUUGCACAUCCAGUUCUGUUUUGGUGUCUGGUUCUUGGAGGACCUGAACUGACUCAGGAGUCAUCAAUAUAUAGGGAAGGAAAACCAGGUUCCCCAAGUACUUCACCUGUAGCCACUGGGCUUGGACCUUUGACAUAGCUGCUGUCCUUAAUUUCCACCUGCCACCCUGGGAGGUAACUGAGAUAAGACCUAUCUUAAAG
rnacentral:lncRNA from 1 species